GCAGCUCUUAAUUUCUUGGCCAUAGUGGAGUUUGGAGUGUGACUGUUUGAGGUUGUGGACAGGUGUCUUUUAUACUGAUAACAAGUUCAAACAGGUGCCAUUAAUACAGGUAACGAGUGGAGGACAGAGGAGCCUCUUAAAGAAGAAGUUACAGGUCUGUGAGAGCCAGAAAUCUUGCUUGUUUGUAGAUGACCAAAUACUUAUUUUCCACCAUAAUUUGCAAAUAAAUUAAUUAAAAAUUCUACAGUGUGAUUUUCUGGAUUUUUUUUCUAAUUUUGUCUGUCAUAGUUGAAGUGUACCUAUGAUGAAAAUUACAGGCCUCUCAUCUUUUUAAGUGGGAGAACUUGCACAAUUGGUGGCUGGCUAAAUACUUUUCUGCCCCACUGUAGCUUGAAGCUGACAAUUGACUUGUGUUGGUGAUAAAAACCUAAAAGCUAGCAUUCUAUAGACAAGAUGUGGUGUGUGUGACUCGAGAUAGAGAGAGCCUGGAGGAGUUAAGAACAAUGCCUCAUUGUCUCAUCUUCCUGGCAUCUGUGAAACUAAGUAAAAUACCAUACUGUGUAGAUAAUCAAGGUGACUUAUGGGAAGGUUAGAAGUGACUGACUAAGCAAUAUUAGUUUCAACUAUAUAAAAACUGUGCAUCGUCUGUAAAGGCUAGACUCUCAGCCUAGCAGUCAGUUAAGAGUGGUGGGCUGACGGUCUCAUUAUUGCAAUAAUUAAUCAAUUUUAAAUAAAGAUGAUUGUUUGAAGAAAUGACCAAGACCAAGUCUCUCUCAGUACUGAAUUUCCACGACAAGUGAAACAAGGGCUAUAUCAGUUCCUGGUUCCACAUGUUUUUGAAUGGGGCAUGCUUAUUUAAGAUGGGGAGGAAAGCACUUUUAAAGAAUAACCAGGCAUCCUCUACUGAUGGAAUGAGGUCAAUAUCUUUCCAGGAUACCCGGGCCAGGCCGAUUAGAAAGGCCUGCUCACUGAAGUGUUUUAGGCAGCGUUUGACUAUGAUGAGGGGUUGUCGUUUGACCGCCGUUUGAUAUCUAUGAGGGUGUCCGAGUUUACGGAUUUGGGGUUGUACCUGGUAGGUUCCAUGAUAAUUUUGGUGAGAUUGAGGGUAUCUAGCUUAGAUUGUAGGACAGCCGGGAUGUUAAGCAUAUCCCAGUUUAGGUCACCUAACAGUACAAACUCUGAAGAUAAAUGGGGGGCAAUUAAUUCACAUAUGGUGUCCAGGGCGCAGCUGGGGGCUGAGGGGGAUCUGUAACAAGUGGCAACAGUGAGAGACUUCUUUCUGGAAAGGUGGAUUUUUAAAAGUAGAAGCUCUGUUUGGGCACAGACCUGGAUAGCGGGACAGAACUCUGCAGUAGAUUGCAACUCCAUCCUCUUUGGCAGUUCUGUCUUGGGGGAAAAUGUAUAUUCAUACAUAAAGGCAUUUUUCAGCUAUGAUUUUACCACUCAGAAUCCAGAAUGGAUAUGACAAUGGGGCCAGCACAGGAUGUAAUACACGCUUACAACAAUCUACUAGAACACCUGUGGGCCAAGUCAAGAGCUACCCUUCCUCUUUCAGUCAGCUCUGCACAUGUCUGAAAGUGACAGACCCAGAGUUCUUCACAGUAUGUCAUAUAAAAUUAUUACACUUAUGAAUGUAUGUAAAAUGCUAAUAUGUAUUAGAUCCAGUACAAUGGAAUAACCAAGACCUGAAUUUGAAUGCACCGUGUUCCGAUUCCUCCUAUUCUUUCUGUCCAGCAGGGUCAACCAAAAACACUUGGCCGGAUGGUUCAUGCAGAUACUGGGGAAGCAAUAUAGAAAUGUAUUGAUCCCUUAAAUUAUUUUACUAUUAAAUAACCUAUAUCACAACCCUCAUACCUCUUCACAAAAAUGUACCUAAAUCAAUUUUGGAAAAAAGAUUUCACACACAAAAGACGUAGGAAUUUAUUUUCCCAGUUAGAAAUAGUAGGCCAUGCAUCAAAUAAUUAUUUUCAUCAGAAAAAAACAACUCUCAAAUGCUCUAUUGCAUUUUGUAAGUUGUCUGCAGGUGGCUUGUUGUGAAUGCACUCAAAUAUCAAGUCAUUAUCAGGUUAUGGAAACUGUGUUCUAAUACUCAACAUAGAAGGAUUUGUCUUAAUGUCCAGUAUAUGAAAGUGAUUCUAUGAAAAUUAUUCUUUCACCUUAUCAAGCUCACUCUGACUGACAAAUCACUGCCUUUCACUUGUGAUUAAAAAGAGCAUAUGAAACAUUGUUUUUCACGAGGCCUACCUGUGCUCCUUCCUUUAAGCAUCUCUGUUUGAACGCCUCUCCUGUCCUUGAUCCAUUCCACAUACAGCCAUUUGCGGAUCUUUUCAGUGUCCAUGUAAAAUAUAGUUAUUGCGAGGCUGGAAUAUUUGUUAACUUAAAAAAAAAAUUUUUUAGCACCCAUGUGAAACGAAGGCCUGCAAAGCUUACAGAUUUAAGUCUAAUAGCAUGAUUUGAAAGUAGACUAACAUCAGAGUGAGCGAUAUGAAGGUAUAGUCAGUGGACAUUCUGAACCUGGUUUGAGGUCAGUAGUCACAUGACCAAGGAGCAUUUUAAAUUUUCAUAAAUUCAUGUAAAAUCUUGUGAGAUGAAAAUGGAUAAACUAAAGGGUGUGCAAUGUGUAGGCCUACUGAGUGGACAUUCUGAACCUUGUUUGAAGUCACUAGGUCACAUGACCAAGAAGCUAUUGAAAUUUUACAUUUUGAUAAAUUCAUGUAAAAUCAUGUGAGAUGAAAAUGGAAAAAAAUGUGUGCAAUAUAGAAGGGUAGUCAGUGGACAUUCUGGACCUUGUUUGAGUCAAGUAGGUCACAUGACCAAUGACCUAUUGAAAUGUAAAAAAAGUUUGUUUACACUCCCUAACUAAUUCAACUAGGAAUAAAAAAAUGCUGCUCACAUUUCCACAUAUUUAUUAGCUUUGGAAAGCGAAUUAAUGUCCAAAACGGGAAAAUAAGCGCAGUUUUUCCAACAUAAUGACACUUAUUUGGAGUCUGUGGCUCAAGUGGUUUGAAAGCGCGAAUAUCUGUCAAUUAUCCAACUUGAAACUGUCUUUACCUCGGUGACCAAUACAAGUUUUUGUGGAGCUUGCUCAAAGCGUUGAACCUAAAGAAACCACCAAAACGUCCAUUUGUGUGCUCCUACCACUUCUUUGACAAGAAGCCUACAGUGAAGCGUCCUUACCCAGAAAAAUGGCUUGGCUACGAUGCUCCACUUGUGAAGAAGCGUCGGGCGUUGGUCAGGUAGUCGUCAGGACAGGUGACACAACAGACUCAAGUGUUUACCAAAUUGAAAAUGGGGAUUGGCCAGCACAGAAGGAAUGGAUAUGCCUUCAGAGAAGGAUGCCCAAACCCAAUGGGAAGACCCAUCUCUAAGUGAUCACAACUACAGCUCAGGUGAUCAUGUAAAGCCCACUACCUGUGAGGCAGGGACACAGUGCCCAGCAGCACCUCUCUACAAAACCCUGCUGAGAAACGAAGCACUCUGUUGACUGCAUACAGGCUUGUUUCUUGCUGCCUUUUCUACCCUGGCAGAACAUCUUCUACCCCUCCUACAAAGGAAGCUUUCAGUUAGACCUGACAGACUAACUCCUGAUGACAUUGAUGAAGCUGAAGCUCAACUUGCUGCAGCAGUACCAAGCAGAAAGGUUUGGUGUUUCCCAGAGUAUUGUCAGUCAAGUGAUUAGUUAUUGGAUUGACAUGAUGGAAGAGAAUCGGAAGUAGUAAAUUCCAUGGUUGCCAAGGGAGACCCCAUCCAUGCUACAAUGUGACAAUGUUUUAAGGACCACUGUCCAGGAACAACCUGCAUUAUUGACUGCUCAGAAACUGCUUUACAGAAGUGCAAGAGUCUGGAUUCAAGGGGGAGUCAUUCAUCCAUUACUAUGCCCAGAACACUAUCAAGUACCUCAUGGUCAUUGCACCUUGUGGUCUAGUGAUGUUCAUCUCCUCAGCAUAUGGAGGUAUAUGUAGUGACAAAUAUAUAACAUAGGAUUCUGGGUUUCUGGAGUACUUCUGUCCAGGUGAUGAGGUCAUGGCUGACCGGAGCUUCACAAUCUGAUCUGCUACAAUAGAGGAAGGUCGAAUUUACAAUUCCAGCCUUCACAGAAAGAGGCACACAGCUGUCAGACGACACCAACUUGUACAAGACGGAUAGCUAACGUGAGGGUUCAUGUGGAACGCGUAAUUCAAAGGCUCAAGUCGUUUAGAAUCAUCUCACAAACAGUGCCAAUCAACCUCUCAUCUGACAAAAUACUUUGAAUCUGUGCUGACCUGUGUAACCUGCACUGACCUGUGUGGUGAUAUCAUUCAUGAAGAUGUUGAAUCAACUGAUCAGUCAAAUGCCAUUCACAGGGUUGAUUUCCCAAUAUGAAUUAAAGUUGUCAAAAUUUACAUUAAAUACAUUUCAAUUCAUUCUAUAACAACUUUACUUAGUUAUUUGUUUUACAUACUCAUUAAUAUUAAUAAAAAACAAAGCCGUAAAAACAAUUUCCACAAUACUGUGACUGUUGAUGCAUUAAGUCAGGCUUUUUAAUUGAAAAACAAUGUGUUAAUAGUAACUGCAAACAGGAGACAUCUGACUACAUAUGUCUAUAGAGCUGCAUAUAUUUGUCACUCGGUGACAAUCUGCUGCCUGAUACUUCACAAUAAAUGGCAGCAUGUGUUGAGUAGAAUGCCUUCAACCUCGACAGCCUCUGCACAAACCUGUGCAUCAUAGGGAACAGGGAUGACAACUUGCCGGGACAGAGUCCAGAUGAACACCUUACUUUCUCUCAGUCUUGUGCAAAACAUACCAAUUUGCACCUGCAUGUAGUAGCCACGUGGCCUAUGUGGUUGCAGUUAGUGUGUGCCCUCCACCACCUUCACAUCACAGGCUUUCCCAUUGAAGACAUCACCCAGAGAUUCACAGCCCUUCCUAGGGCCUUAUGAAAUCCAUUUUUUUUUUCAAAAUUCCAUUAUAUAUUUUCCCAAAUUACAUUUUUUCCGUUUAAAUUUGUCUGAUUUCUGUGUUUUACAAUUUAUGCAAAUUUUAUCAGAAAGUGUGUCUAAUAAUAUGAAUAUGAAUGAAUAAAACGUAGUCUUGUAUUUGCUGAAACUCCUCUCACAGUUGACUGAGCUGAGUGGGAAGUAAAUGUAGGACACUACCACUUCUGCAACUCUUGGGAAUCUCGCACUCAGGCCCCUCCAGUAAUCAGCAAGCUCCAAAGCAGGUGAGGGCUCCCUGAACACAUUUUUCACUGAGCUCUGAUGAUGGGCUUGCCAUGAUGAGCUCCGAUGAUGGGCUUGCUACACACAUCAGUUGUGUGUGUAGCCUUGUGAAUGGAAUUUAUAUGUUUACAUGAAUGAUUAGAAUAUUCCACCCUGAAACCAUAUAAUUGAAUGAAAUUGAUUAGAAUUAUCAAUUAUUAUUAAUGAUGUGUCUAUUCUUAGUCAGUAAAAUUAUAAUAAAUAUGUGUAGUUUUAGUCAGAAUUAGGGUAAAACAAAAUCUGUAAAAUAUGUCUCUUUAGUAUCUUAAACACAGACUGUCUGAGCAAAAUUUGGUGCCGACCUUGCUAGGGGCCUCAGAGAUUUGAGGGAGGACAGGGAGUACUUCUCACGGUCCCUAAUCUUUGUCGGCUGGGUAUUGAUAAAGUAUGUGUGUAGGAUACCUACUGUUCGUGUGUAUGUAGGUGCGUAUGAUAUCUACUGUUUGUGUGGAAGUAUGUGCGCCGCUAUAAAAUGGAUGUCUUUGUAUAGUGGACUUUAGAACGUUCUCGUGAAUAAACUGUACUGACCUUUUGCAUA